UACGAAGGGGGCUAGCGUUGCUCGGAAUCACUGGGCGUAAAGGGUGCGUAGGCGGGUCUUUAAGUCAGGGGUGAAAUCCUGGAGCUCAACUCCAGAACUGCCUUUGAUACUGAAGAUCUUGAGUUCGGAAGAGGUGAGUGGAACUCCGAGUGUAGAGGUGAAAUUCGUAGAUAUUCGGAAGAACACCAGUGGCGAAGGCGGCUCACUGGUCCGGUACUGACGCUGAGGUGCGAAAGCGUGGGGAGCAAACAGG
rnacentral:rRNA from 1 species